rnacentral:rRNA from 1 species
ACGGGGUGCAGCAGGCGAGAAAACUUUGCAAUGUGCGAAAGCACGACAAGGUUAAUCCGAGUGGUUUCUGCUAAAGGAACCUUUUGUUAGUCCUAGAAACACUAACGAAUAAGGGGUGGGCAAGUUCUGGUGUCAGCCGCCGCGGUAAAACCAGCACCUCAAGUGGUCAGGAUGAUUAUUGGGCCUAAAGCACCCGUAGCCGGCUCUGUAAGUUUUCGGUUAAAUCUGUACGCUUAACGUACAGGCCGCCGGGAAUACUGCAGAGCUAGGGAGUGGGAGAGGUAGACGGUACUCGGGAGGAAGUGGUAAAAUGCUUUGAUCUCUCGAUGACCACCUGUGGCGAAGGCGGUCUACCAGAACACGUCCGACGGUGAGGGAUGAAAGCUGGGGGAGCAAACCGGAUUAGAUACCCGGGUAGUCCCAGCUGUAAACUAUGCAGACUCAGUGAUGCAUUGGCUUGUGGCCAAUGCAGUGUUGCAGGGAAGCCGUUAAGUUUGCCGCCUGGGAAGUACGUACGCAAGUAUGAAACUUAAAGGAAUUGGCGGGGGAGCAC